rnacentral:rRNA from 1 species
UACGGGGGGAGCAAGCGUUGUUCGGAUUUACUGGGCGUAAAGGGCGCGUAGGCGGCCAGCACAAGUCAGUUGUGAAAUCUCCGGGCUUAACUCGGAAAGGUCAACUGAUACUGUGCGGCUAGAGUGCAGAAGGGGCAACUGGAAUUCUCGGUGUAGCGGUGAAAUGCGUAGAUAUCGAGAGGAACACCAGUGGCGAAGGCGGCUCACUGGACCGGUACUGACGCUGAAGCGCGAAAGCGUGGGGAGCAAACGGG